UCGGCGCUGUAUUGCCAACCCCGCUCUUUGGGCUUUUAGAUACUGCAGGCACAGCGCCAUGUCACUCUGUAGCGUCGACCGUAUGGUAUUCAUUUCGCUUUUUCCCCUUCGCUCGGUGAGUUACGUUCCUAUCUGUAUUAGUUUACGUGUUUUUAUUUGCACAACCCGUACGCGCGCGUUUGCGACAGCUUUCCCGGAGAAAGUGCAUUUUGACUAAACGUCAUUCUCAUCAAAAAGCCUGAAACGAAAUUUCUUCGAUGGAAGUGGACACGUGGUGCCCAACGGAAUGACGAAGUAAAUUCGGUCGCCCACCGGCACUGAAGCGCUAGGCCAACGCCGCAGGCAGCCUAGCCUUAGUUGCGUAGUGUGCUCCUUCCUCAUAGCAGGCUAUCCGCUGUUGCUGCCGUGCGGGCCCAUGCUCCUGGGAAGCAUGCCGCUACGUGCUCUAUCUUGCGCGCACGUCUAGAAAGGCUCGGCAAUAUAAUUGAUCCCUACGGUGACACGUCGUGCCGAAGCACCUUCGCUGGAGAUGAACAGCCGUCGUCGGCGCCUUCCCCAGAUCGUGGCGACGAUAUGGGUUGGCACGUUUUGCUGUUUUCGCCCACUGGCUGUUAGCCCGUUCCGCGCUAAUGUCAUCAUCAAUGCAGGUGUGCGCGCGGCCUAUGCGUGCAUGUCUGAAUCCUGGUGUCCUCAAGACGGCUUACUUCGCUUUCCGGGAGCUCGGCAUGCAGACAGAAGGAGAGCUACACAAGCUGUUCCCGCAUAAAGCGUUGCUGAGAGGCACAGCGACGCUGCAGUGGCUCGACUGUAAGCGCGUGGACGGAGUGCCCGUAUCGACUGAAUUGGCUGAAAGCGUACCUACAUCUCGUCGUUAGAUUCAGUACGUUUGUACAUCGGCAUUUUUACUUUACAGCAAGUGAGUACUUAACGUGAAGGACUAAUUUGUUAUGUGUCCGAAUAAGCGCAUGACAAUUCCUGCAUCCAGGCUUGUUGCCAAGCGAUAUUGUAACGGUACAAGCGCUCCUGACAAACUUGUCCUGAGCAUUGUAACGCCUCGAGAAUUGGACCGAGAGUGAGCCCUGCUGUCUACCCGACACUGGGAAAGAGGGUUAUAGGAAAGAUAGAUAGGCUACGGAAGAAGGAAGAAGCCAAAGUUGCGUUGGAGACACACACGAACCGAAGUGUUGAUCACUCAGUUCGGUUUUGACUUCGGAAACUUAAGGGGCGCUCUCGUGGCUCUCUACUUGGACGGUGCUUUUCAUCGGACAUUGACGAAGAUUAACAAGUGAUGCAAUUAGCUUUUAGCAGAGCUACGCCCAGCAGGACGUCAUGGGGAUCGAUGUACUCCUGACUCGGGACAUCCGACUUCUUUUUGUAUGCACACAGUGUGCCACUUCGCGAGUGCAAUUUCACAGGUCCUUCGUGGACUUCAUGCUGGACGCAAACUGGUUUGAACAUGUCUAAUAUUUUCUCUAUGUAUUGUGGCUCUGAGUACGUUUUCGAAUAAAAUAAAAAUGCGUUGCUCGUUGCCAGGCUAC